rnacentral:rRNA from 1 species
AUUGAACGCUAACGGCAUGCUUAACACAUGCAAGUCGAACGGCAGCACAGCAGUAGCAAUACUGUGGGUGGCGAGUGGCGGACGGGUGAGUAAUGUAUAGGAAUCUGCCUUGUAGUGGGGGAUAACCUGGGGAAACUCGGGCUAAUAACGCAUAAUCUUUACGAAGCAAAGCGGGGGGUCGGAAGACCUUGCGCUAUAAGAUGAGCCUAUAUUGGAUUAGCUAGUUGGUGGGGUAAAGGCCUAACAAGGCGACGAUCCAUCGCUGGUCUGAGAGGAUGAUCAGCCACACUGGGACUGAGACACGGCCCAGACUCCUACGGGAGGCAGCAGUGGGGAAUAUUGGACAAUGGGGGAAACCCUGAUCCAGCAAUGCCGUGCGUGUGAAGAAGGCCUUCGGGUUGUAAAGCACUUUUAGUGGGAAAGAAAAGCUCAAAGCUAAUAACUUUGAGCCUUGACGUUACCCACAGAAAAAGCACUGGCUAACUCUGUGCCAGCAGCCGCGGUAA